rnacentral:rRNA from 1 species
UGGGGAAUUUUGGACAAUGGGCGCAAGCCUGAUCCAGCAAUGCCGCGUGCAGGAUGAAGGCCUUCGGGUUGUAAACUGCUUUUGUACGGAACGAAACGGCUCUUUCUAAUAAAGAGGGCUAAUGACGGUACCGUAAGAAUAAGCACCGGCUAACUACGUGCCAGCAGCCGCGGUAAUACGUAGGGUGCAAGCGUUAAUCGGAAUUACUGGGCGUAAAGCGUGCGCAGGCGGUUAUGUAAGACAGAUGUGAAAUCCCCGGGCUCAACCUGGGACCUGCAUUUGUGACUGCAUAGCUGGAGUACGGUAGAGGGGGAUGGAAUUCCACGUGUAGCAGUGAAAUGCGUAGAUAUGCGGAGGAACACCGAUGGCGAAGGCAGUCCCCUGGACCUGUACUGACGCUCAUGCACGAAAGCGUGGGGAGCAAACA